rnacentral:rRNA from 1 species
GACGAACGCUGGCUGCGUGCUUAACACAUGCAAGUCGAACGAUGAACCCGGAGCUUGCUCUGUGGGAUUAGUGGCGAACGGGUGUGUAACACGUGAGUAACCUGCCCUGGACUCUGGGAUAAGCGUUGGAAACGACGUCUAAUACCGGAUAGGACCUUGGAUCGCAUGAUCUGGGGUGGAAAGGUUUUUCGUUCUGGGUUGGACUCGCGGCCUAUCAGCUUGUUGGUGAGGUAAUGGCUCACCAAGGCGUCGACGGGUAGCCGGCCUGAGAGGGUGACCGGCCACACUGGGACUGAGACACGGCCCAGACUCCUACGGGAGGCAGCAGUGGGGAAUAUUGCACAAUGGGCGAAAGCCUGAUGCAGCAACGCCGCGUGCGGGAUGACGGCCUUCGGGUUGUAAACCGCUUUUAGUAGGGAAGAAGGGCUUCGGCUUGACGGUACCUGCAGAAAAAGGACCGGCUAACUACGUG